GAGCUGCGAGGGAGGAUGGGAGGUUCAGAGUAGGAGGAGCAGCAGCAGCUGGACUGGCCUCCCACUUCCCACCCUCUGAGGGCUGCCAUAGGGGCUUCCCGAGCAAAAGCACCCAUCAGGUGCUGGGAUAAAGCCCGGAGCAGGAGGAGACUGCAGGAGAAGCCAGAUCAUCCGAGUCACCGGGUGCUGAGCCAGCGCCUCCUGGGGUCAAUCGAGACUCAAGACUUGGAACACUACUCGUGCAGAAGCCAGCAAGGUGGGACUGCAGCGGGGGCAUGAAGGAGCUGUGAAGAGGCUAGAGCCAAGUAAGGGGCUACCGGAGGUGGCUCAGGGGUCUGGCUCUGUCAUCAGGUCUCCUUGGAGAGCGGUGAGUUCACCAGGGCUGCCCUGGGCAGAGUGAGCUGGUGCUGAGAGAACUGCAACUGUGACAGCCUAGGGGCCAGACGCUGGACACGUGGCUGUGAUGAAUGGCAUAGAUGAGAGACCGCCACACCUCGCCUCACCCGCCUCCCUCCACACCUGCUUGCGUGCCCACCUCCUCGUAGUCGUUCUCCGGGGUCAGGAAAUCAUCCACGAUGGUGACCCGGGGGCCCAGCUGCUCGCUCAGCACGUCCAGGAAGCGAGAUGGGGCCUCACUAUGUUGCCAGGCUGGUCUCAA
rnacentral:lncRNA from 1 species